UACGGAGGGUGCAAGCGUUAAUCGGAAUUACUGGGCGUAAAGCGUGCGUAGGUGGUUGAAUAAGUUAUCUGUGAAAUUCCUGGGCUUAACCUGGGCAGGUCAGAUGAUACUGUUUAACUCGAGUAUGGGAGAGGGUAGUGGAAUUUCCGGUGUAGCGGUGAAAUGCGUAGAGAUCGGAAGGAACACCAGUGGCGAAGGCGGCUACCUGGCCUAAUACUGACACUGAGGCACGAAAGCGUGGGGAGCAAACAGG
rnacentral:rRNA from 1 species